rnacentral:rRNA from 1 species
UGGGGAAUAUUGCACAAUGGGCGAAAGCCUGAUGCAGCAACGCCGCGUGAGUGAUGAAGGCCUUCGGGUUGUAAAGCUCUGUCUUUUGGGACGAUAAUGACGGUACCAAAGGAGGAAGCCACGGCUAACUACGUGCCAGCAGCCGCGGUAAUACGUAGGUGGCAAGCGUUGUCCGGAUUUACUGGGCGUAAAGGAUGCGUAGGCGGAUUUUUAAGUGAGAUGUGAAAACCCUAAGCUUAACUUGGGGACUGCAUUUCAUACUGGAAAUCUAGAGUGCAGGAGAGGAGAAUGGAAUUCCUAGUGUAGCGGUGAAAUGCGUAGAGAUUAGGAAGAACACCAGUGGCGAAGGCGAUUCUCUGGACCGUAACUGACGCUGAGGCAUGAAAGCGUGGGUAGCAAACAGGAUUAGAUACCCUGGUAGUCCACGCCGUAAACGAUGAGUACUAGGUGUAGGAGGUAUCGACCCCUUCUGUGCCGCAGUUAACACAAUAAGUACUCCGCCUGGGAAGUACGAUCGCAAGAUUAAAACUCAAAUGAAUUGACGGGGUCAUAGCUGUUUCCU